CAGGUUUCCGAAACCUUGCGUGGUUGAAAAACCUAACCAAGCUCCGGAGCAAGGUUAAAGGCUUGGUUUGCCUUCUGAGCAUGCGCAUUACAAGUAAACAUUAGAAGCAAUGGCGGUUCGAGGUGAUCUUCGCUUGAAGUUGAUUCCGAAUUGACUCUGGAUACUGAAACUUACAACUUGCUGCAAUCUAUCUCAGGAAUCAUAUAACUGGUGUCUCUGUCAAAAGGAAGUUGUAAUUUAUGUUAAUUGGUUUUCAAUUGUAUUACUUUGUAUUUGUUUUUAAAAGAUUAAAUCCUGAUUAUGUACUCAAUUAGCUGAAAUAAAUUUUACUUGCCUCUGUAA